rnacentral:rRNA from 1 species
CAGCCGUAAACUAUGCUCGCUAGGUGUCAGGCAUGGCGCGACCGUGUCUGGUGCCGCAGGGAAGCCGUGAAGCGAGCCACCUGGGAAGUACGGCCGCAAGGCUGAAACUUAAAGGAAUUGGCGGGGGAGCACCACAACAGGUGGAGCCUGCGGUUUAAUUGGACUCAACGCCGGGAAGCUCACCGGAUGGGACAGCAGAAUGAUUGCCGGGCUGAAGACCCUGCAUGACUAGCUGAGAGGAGGUGCAUGGCGUAGACGUCU